rnacentral:rRNA from 1 species
AGCAGCCGCGGUAAUUCCAGCUCCAAUAGCGUAUAUUAAAGUUGUUGCAGUUAAAAAGCUCGUAGUUGAAUUUCGGGGUUAGUAGGUUGGUCAUGCCUCUGGUAUGUACUGGUCUCACUGAUUCCUCCUUCCUGAUGAGCCGUAAUGCCAUUAAUUUGGUGUUUUGGGGAAUUUGGACUGUUACUUUGAAAAAAUUAGAGUGUUUAAAGCAAGCUAACGCUUGAAUACAUUAGCAUGGAAUAAUGAAAUAGGACGUUCGAUCCUAUUUUGUUGGUUUCUAGGAUUGACGUAAUGAUUAAUAGGGAUAGUUGGGGGCAUUAGUAUUCAAUUGUCAGAGGUGAAAUUCUUGGAUUUAUUGAAGACUAACUACUGCGAAAGCAUUUGCCAAGGAUGUUUUCAUUAAUCAAGAACGAAAGUUAGGGGAUCGAAGACGAUCAGAUACCGUCGUAGUCUUAACCAUAAACUAUGCCGACUAGGGAUCGGAUGAUGUUAAUUUUUUAAUGACUCA